rnacentral:rRNA from 1 species
GUCCACGCCGUAAACGAUGAUAACUAGGUGUUGGAGGAUUGACCCCUUCAGUGCCGCAGUUAACACAAUAAGUAAUCCACCUGGGGAGUACGACCGCAAGGUUGAAACUCAAAGGAAUUGACGGGGGCCCGCACAAGCAGUGGAGUAUGUGGUUUAAUUCGACGCAACGCGAAGAACCUUACCAAGUCUUGACAUCCUGCGACGGUGCUGGAAACAGUACUUUCCUUCGGGACGCAGAGACAGGUGGUGCAUGGUUGUCGU